rnacentral:tRNA from 1 species
UAAUGGUGUAUUUUAAGAAAAAUAUUGCUUUGCAAAGGUGAAGUUGCUUUAUUUAGCUGCCAUU